GCAGUGUAUGUCAGACUUCCAAGAAAAGCUCGCAAUGUCGCAAAUAAAAAUGCCUGUACCAUAACCGACACAGGUGGGUAGGUAGAGUAUACUAAGGGGCGCGAGAUAACUCUCUCUAAGGAACUCGGCAAAAUGACUCCGUAACUUCGGGAGAAAGAGUGCCUUAUUUAUAAGGUUGCAAUAACAAGAUCCAAGCAACUGUUUAUCAAAAACACAGGUCUCCGCUAAGUCGUAAGACGAUGUAUGGGGGCUGACGCCUGCCCAGUGCCAGAAGGCUAAAGAAGUUGGUUAGUGUAUGCGAAGCUGAUGACUGAAGCCCUGGUGAACGGCGGCCGUAACGAUAACGGUCCUAAGGUAGCGAAAUUCCUUGUCGGGUAAGUUCCGACCCGCACGAAAGGCGUAAUGAUUUGGAUACUGUCUCGGAGAGAGGCUCGGUGAAGUAGACUUGUCUGUGAAGAUGCGGACUACCUGCACCAGGACAGAAAGACCCUAUGAAGCUUUACUGUAACUUGAAAUUGGAAUUGGACUUUGCUUGCGCAGUAUAGGUGGGAAGCGUUGAAAAUAUUCUUGCGGGAGUAUUGGAGCUAUCAGUGAGAUACCACUCUUGUAAUGUUAGAUUUCUAACUUUGAACCAUAAUCUGGUCAAAGAACAGUUUCAGGUGGGCAGUUUGACUGGGGCGGUCGCCUCCCAAAUGGUAACGGAGGCGUACAAAGGUUUCCUCUGAACGGAUAGAAAUCGUAUCUAGAGUGUAAAGGCAUAAGGAAGCUUGACUGUGAGACCUACAAGUCGAGCAGGGACGAAAGUCGGUCUUAGUGAUCUGACGGUACUGAGUGGAAAGGCCGUCACUCAACGGAUAAAAGUUACUCUAGGGAUAACAGGCUGAUCUCCCCCAAGAGUUCACAUCGACGGGGAGGUUUGGCACCUCGAUGUCGGCUCAUCGCAUCCUGGGGCGGUAGUACGUCCCAAGGGUUGGGCUGUUCGCCCAUGAAAGCGGUACGCGAGCUGGGUUCAGAACGUCGUGAGACAGUUCGGUCCAUAUCCGGUGUAGGCGCUAGAAUAUUGAGAGGAGCCUUCUUUAGUACGAGAGGACCGAGAAGGACACACCGCUGGUGUACCAGUUAUCGUGCCAACGGUAAACGCUGGGUAGCUAUGUGUGGAGUGGAUAACCGCUGAAAGCAUCUAAGUGGGAAGCCCACCUCGAGAUGAG
rnacentral:rRNA from 1 species